UUGUUGGCCGUCUGGCGGCGCCGCCUCACGCGUCCUGGUCGAAGGACCCUUCUUCUCCUCUUUUUUUUGCGAAUAUAGGGCCCUUCUUCUCCAACGUGCGGCUGACGCGUCCGUUAUCUUCGCCUUCGUCCCGAUCGCCUGUGCGUUCUUCAUUGCUGUGGCGACGUGACCUGGCACGCACGGCACGCACGCAGUUCAAGACAAACUUUGACCACUGAGAUGGAGGGAGUAAGUAUGAUGGUUUGAUAAUGACAGGUUUGGACGAUGGAUGGUAUUGGUGAAACAGAGGUGAGAGAAGAAUAUAUUACGAUGGUCAGUCAAAUAUUUGAUAGCGAAGAGCAAGGUUACGAGCACUAGAACAAAUAUGUGAAAGAGAAAGGGUUCAAUGCCAGAUUGGACUAGAAAGAGUAUGUGGCUGGGACCAAAGAAGUAAAAAAAGACAGUUUGUCUGUUCCAAAGAAGGUUACCGUUUGCAGAAGUAUUUUGAACCAACUGAGCAAAAGAGGAAGACAUGAAGUUUGGUUACAGUUUCUAUUUCCUGUAUGUACCGAGACCUGAAGUUUGGUUUUGCUGUACCGGGCCUUGAAGUUUGGUUACAUGUUCUAUUUCCUGUAAGGAUUGCUUUGUUCUGUAGACAAUAUUGCUUGUGUGUUACUGCAGCUAGUUCAAAAAUAUUGAGUGCAAUUGACCUUGUUGAUCUGUUGGUUUUGAUCAUAUUUGUAAUUCAAUUUCUGUAUGCCUGUUGACAACGAAGUGGAUACAGAGAGUGAAGCAAGGGUUUGCGAUUAUGAAA